GACGAACGCUGGCGGCGUGCCUAAUACAUGCAAGUAGAACGCACAGGAUGCACCGUAGUUUACUACACCGUAUUCUGUGAGUUGCGAACGGGUGAGUAACGCGUAGGUAACCUGCCUGGUAGCGGGGGAUAACUAUUGGAAACGAUAGCUAAUACCGCAUAAGAACAUUUACUGCAUGGUAGAUGUUUAAAAGGUGCAAGAGCAUCACUACCAGAUGGACCUGCGUUGUAUUAGCUAGUUGGUGAGGUAACGGCUCACCAAGGCAACGAUACAUAGCCGACCUGAGAGGGUGAUCGGCCACACUGGGACUGAGACACGGCCCAGACUCCUACGGGAGGCAGCAGUAGGGAACCUUCGGCAAUGGGGGAAACCCUGACCGAGCAACGCCGCGUGAGUGAAGAAGGUUUUCGGAUCGUAAAGCUCUGUUGUUAAGGAAGAACGUGUGUGAGAGUGGAAAGUUCACACAGUGACGGUACUUAACCAGAAAGGGACGGCUAACUACGUGCCAGCAGCCGCGGUAAUACGUAGGUCUCGAGCGUUGUCCGGAUUUAUUGGGCGUAAAGCGAGCGCAGGCGGUUAGAUAAGUCUGAAGUGAAAGGCAGUGGCUCAACCCUUUGUAGGCUUUGGAAACUGUUUAACUUUAGUGCAAAAGGGGGAGAGUGGGAAUUCAUCUGUAGCGGUGAAAAAUCGUAAAUAUAUUGAAGAACCCCCUUGGGU
rnacentral:rRNA from 1 species